CUGAGAGAUACCUCUCUCCUUUGACUCUCAUCCUCGCGACAGCCGAGCCGCUCUUGCUUUCCUUCAGCACCCCUUCGACCAUAUUCUCCUUCUCCCAUACGUCCCCAAAACGCCAGCGAGUCAGAACAGUCCCGCUGUCUUUGCAUAUUUAAUUUAUUUCAGGUUUAGUUGCACAUUUAGUCUGCUUACGGGCUAUGUCGCAACCGGAGGAUAUUUGAAAAAGGCAUUGGGGGAUGGCAGCUAAGAGAAAUGGAGAUAGGGAGACUUAGCGGAACAUGACAAAAAUGUGAGUGACUGAUGGAUCAGUGGUUUGGACCUACAAUUCAGCAAGGGCGAUAUUGUAGUUUCGUCUGCUUUUGGAGGGCAUCGGGGGAUUUGAAAAUUGCCCGUACAAAGCUCGGAGAAGUGCCUCGUAACCGGAUCCGAGAAAAGAAAGCCCGGGAGAAAAGGACGACUGGUUUAGAGGAGUUGGAGGAGCCAGGCCUGAUUUGAGCUCAUCAUCAGGACUCAAGGAUCCAAAACGUCUACGCUGAGU
ensembl:lncRNA